AUGACAACAGCCCUUAUAUAACUCCUAAAAUCACCACCCACUAGGAAUGUUUAACACCUGGGUAGGCCUCUGCUUAUUUGCAAACAAUAGCUAAUUAACCAGCAAUCAACAGCAAGUAACUAGCUUAAUCAAAUCAAAUGCCUUAUAAUUACCAACAGGAAUUCAAACCUUGGGCAAUCAGUAACCUUUUCCUACAGAUGAAUCUUACCAACAGGAAUUCAAACCUUGGGCAAUCAGUAACCUUUUCCUACAGAUGAAUCUUACCUGUAACAGUAGAAAAGAAAGCUCUUAGCACAACUCUUAGACAGUUGAAGCUUCUGUAAAACUCUCCAAAAUAUCUCCAACUACACACUUAGAAACAGC